UACGUAGGGGGCAAGCGUUGUCCGGAUUUAUUGGGCGUAAAGAGCGUGUAGGCGGCCGUACAGGUCAGCUGUGAAAACUCGAGGCUCAACCUCGAGACGUCGGUUGAAACCGUACGGCUAGAGUCCGGAAGAGGAGAGUGGAAUUCCCGGUGUAGCGGUGAAAUGCGCAGAUAUCGGGAAGAACACCAGUGGCGAAGGCGGGUCUCUGGGACGGUACUGACGCUGAGACGCGAAAGCGUGGGGAGCGAACAGG
rnacentral:rRNA from 1 species